rnacentral:rRNA from 1 species
GACAGAGGGUGCAAACGUUGUUCGGAAUUACUGGGCGUAAAGAGUGUGUAGGCGGUGCUCUAAGUUUGGUGUGAAAUCUCCCGGCUUAACUGGGAGGGUGCGCCGAAAACUGGAAUGCUUGAACAUGGGAGAGGAAAGCGGAAUUCCUGGUGUAGCGGUGAAAUGCGUAGAUAUCAGGAGGAACACCUGCGGUGUAGACGGCUUUCUGGACCAUUGUUGACGCUGAGACACGAAAGCGUGGGUAGCAAACAGG